rnacentral:rRNA from 1 species
GAUGAACGCUGGCGGCGUGCCUAAUACAUGCGAGUCGAGCGAAUGGAUUAAGAGCUUGCUCUUAUGAAGUUAGCGGCGGACGGGUGAGUAACACGUGGGUAACCUGCCCAUAAGACUGGGAUAACUCCGGGAAACCGGGGCUAAUACCGGAUAACAUUUUGAACCGCAUGGUUCGAAAUUGAAAGGCGGCUUCGGCUGUCACUUAUGGAUGGACCCGCGUCGCAUUAGCUAGUUGGUGAGGUAACGGCUCACCAAGGCAACGAUGCGUAGCCGACCUGAGAGGGUGAUCGGCAACACUGGGGCUGAGACACGGCCCAGACUCCUACGGGAGGCAGCAGUAGGGAAUCUUCCGCAAUGGACGAAAGUCUGACGGAGCAACGCUGCGUGAGUGAUGAAGGCUUUCGGGUCGUAAAACUCUGUUGUUAGGGAAGAACAAGUGCUAGUUGAAUAAGCUGGCACCUUGACGGUACCUAACCAGAAAGCCACGGCUAACUACGUGCCAGCCGCCGCAGUAA